rnacentral:rRNA from 1 species
GGGUUGUGAGGUUAAGCGACUAAGCGUACACGGUGGAUGCCCUGGCAGUCAGAGGCGAUGAAGGGCGUACUAAUCUGCGAUAAGCGCCGGUAAGGUGAUAUGAACCGUUAUAACCGGCGAUACCCGAAUGGGGAAACCCAGUGUGAUUCGUCACACUAUCAUUAACUGAAUCCAUAGGUUAAUGAGGCGAACCGGGGGAACUGAAACAUCUAAGUACCCCGAGGAAAAGAAAUCAACCGAGAUUCCCCCAGUAGCGGCGAGCGAACGGGGAGGAGCCCAGAGCCUGAAUCAGCAUGUGUGUUAGUGGAAGCGUCUGGAAAGGCGCGCGAUACAGGGUGACAGCCCCGUACACAAAAGCGCAUGUGCUGUGAGCUCGAUGAGUAGGGCGGGACACGUGGUAUCCUGUCUGAAUAUGGGGGGACCAUCCUCCAAGGCUAAAUACUCCUGACUGACCGAUAGUGAACCAGUACCGUGAGGGAAAGGCGAAAAGAACCCCGGCGAGGGGAGUGAAAAAGAACCUGAAACCGUGUACGUACAAGCAGUGGGAGCCCCACCACCAAAGCA